AAGUCGUAACAAGGUUUCCGUAGGUGAACCUGCGGAAGGAUCAUUACCGAGUCCCUGCCCUUCGGGGUAGACCUCCCACCCUGCCAACCGACCUCUGUUGCUUUGGCGGGCCGUGGGCGCCCCCUGGCGCCCCCGCGGGUGCCCUUGCCCCGCGCGCGCCCGCCAGAGACCCCCUACCCGAACCGUCUCCGUGUCCGUCCGAGCCUAACACAAAUGUUAAAACUUUCAACAACGGAUCUCUUGGUUCUG
rnacentral:misc_RNA from 1 species